rnacentral:rRNA from 1 species
UACGGAGGGUGCGAGCGUUGUCCGGAAUCACUGGGCGUAAAGGGCGCGUAGGCGGUCUGCUAAGCGUGCGGUGAAAGCCUGGGGCUCAACCCCAGGUCUGCCGUGCGAACUGGUGGACUAGAGCACUGUAGAGGCAGGUGGAACUCCGGGUGUAGCGGUGGAAUGCGUAGAGAUCCGGAAGAACACCGGUGGCGAAGGCGGCCUGCUGGGCAGUUGCUGACGCUGAGGCGCGACAGCGUGGGGAGCAAACAGG